rnacentral:rRNA from 1 species
UUACACAUGCAAGUCGAACGGCAGCACGGGGUCAACUGGUGGCGAGUGGCGAACGGGUGAGUAAUAUAUCGGAACGUACCUAGUAGGUGUGGGGAUAACGCAGCGAAUAGUUGCGCUAAAUACCUGACUAUAUUCUCUAAGGCAGGAAAGUGGGGGCUCGCAAGACCUCAUGCUUUUAGUAGCGGACCGAUUAUCUGAUUAGCUAGUUGGUGAGGUAAAGGCUCACCAAGGCAUCGAUCAGUAGCUGGUCUUGAGGAGGACGUACCAGCCAUACUGGAACUUGAGACACGGUCCAGACUCUAUAACGGGAGGCAGCAGUGGGGAAUUUUGGACAAUGGGGGAAACCCUGACGCAGCAACACCGCGUGGAGGAUGAAGCCCCUUGGGGUGUAAACUCCUUUCGAUCGGGAAGAUAAUGACGGUACUGGUGGAAGAAGCACCGGCUAACUCUGUGCCAGCAGCCGCGGUAAUACAGAGGGUGCAAGCGUUGUUCGGAAUUAUUGGGCGUAAAGGGUGCGUAGGCGGCGCGACAAGUCACCUGUGAAAUCCCCGGGCUUAACUCGGGGCCUGCAGGCGAAACUGUCGUGCUGGAGUAUGGGAGAGGUGCGUGGAAUUCCCGGUGUAAGCGGUGGAAAUGCGUAGAUAUCGGGAGGAAACACCUGUGGGCGGAAAGCGGGCGCACCUGGGACCAUUAACUGACGCUGGAUUGCCACGGAAAGCUAAGGGGAAGCAAACAGGAUUAGGAUACCCUGGGUAGUCUUAGGCCCUUAAACGGAUGAUCACUAGAAUAUUGGGGAUUGGAUUAGCAAAAUUCCUGGGGUUCGAAAGCU